CAUUCUCAUCCUCGCACAUGCAACACUCACUUUCUAUAGUUUAAAAAAUGAUUUUUCACACGAAAUGCACGUGAAACCGCGGAGGUAACGUACAUCCAUAAGCAAACGUUUAAUCGAAACCAAAACUUUACGCAGGACUAAACUCGAUUUAAACGUUUUGAAUGAUUAACCACAAGCCACAAUAUGCAAGCCUAAAAUAUUUUCGGCAAAUGUGUGAUUUACGAAGUAGAAAUACAACUAACGAAAUGUCCCUGAACUUCCCUAAAAGUAAGCAGUCGGAAAAGCUUAUUUUUAGCAUACUGCAAAGGCUGCAGGGAGGACGAACGUGCUUAACGUCGGUAUCAAACCACGAUUUUAAUUUUUUGAUUCAUACUGUUUCUGUAGUUGGGUCAUAUCAGAAAUUGCUUCGAAAUUAAUUUCGGGUGUACAACAGAAUAUUUUAUUACAAACUUGUAUUCGAAACGAUGGGCUCUAAAAGCGUAUUUCAGACGGUUUUCCACGCGCAACAGAAGCCAUGCCAUUGCCAGGAAAAAGACUUAGUGGUUCUCAGAUCGGAAAAGAAAACUACAGCAAGAAAAAGAAGCAUCAGAACUGCAAAAUCCAAAGCAACAUCAGGGCAUUCUAUACUUAUGAUGUCUGAUGACCCAGGUCUUGAAGUAUCUUCAGACAGGGAACUGUUCAGUGAGAAUCUGUCUGGUGAUCUUCGGAAUGCAGAAGAGUUGCGAAAGUACUGUCGUCUUUCCUGGAUACUAGCUGGACUACUUGGUUGAUACUGGACAACAGGAGCAUUUUCCUCAAUGGCCAUGCCAUUGCCAGGAAAAAGACUUAGUGGUUCUCAGAUCGGAAAAGAAAACUACGGCAAUAAAAAGAAGCAUCAGAGCUGCAAAGUGAUAAUGAAAUCAUAUUUAUUAAAAAAUCGCAAUAGAAAAAUCGCAGAGGAUAAUAAGAAUUAUGAAGGGAUAAAAUCGGAGUCAGAAUCAGAUUCAGGUUGCAGAUUCAGGUUCUUGACUUCAUUUGCAAUAAUUCAUCCAGUUUGAGAAGUUUGCUUGGUAUACGUCCAGGGAUCUGGAACGGAUUAAUGACGUAUACUGAGGUACCAGUCUAAUUUGAAUAGUCCAUUCUGAGAGUAUCCACAUUUAUCGCACAUGUGUUGUUGCAGUAAUGGCUUAAGUUACAAUAAACAUUUCAUAAAUCUAAUCUCUACAAUGCCACGUAACUAGUAAGCAAUUUUAUUUGGAAUUUUGCCUGUCUUCUUCAAUAAGACAUUUAAAAGAAAUUGGAAACGCCCUAAAAAGUCUCUAAGUUUUUUUUUUUUUUUUUUUUUUUUUAAUUAUUUUCCGAUGGGGGCCCUUGCCUCUAAUGGCUCCUAACAUCAGAAGUGGUGCCCAUUUUAUUGUGGAGGCACCUAAAAGGCGGCCAUUGUUGCCUCUUAUGAAGGGACAGACAAUUUUACAUCCAUUCUUUCUACGGGAUUCGAACCUGGGCCCUUCGGUAUAGCAGUUAGGCUCCACUAACCGCUAUACCGGGGCUGCUCUGUACGUAAGUAAAUAAUAGUAAUACAUUAGAUCUCUUUCGAAACAAAUUAUUUAAAAAAUAAGUUCCUUAUAAGCAGUAACUGGAAUAAAUAAGUUAUGUAAAAUUUGAGAAAAAUAAUUUAGUUUUCUUUUCGUAAAUGUUUUUGGUUGCACUGGUAGAAGACAGUUAUUUAUUUAAUGCUUAAAUCUAUAAAUUUCUAUAUGUUCUAAAGUUCCCUUGGUAGAAUAAUCUUUCAAAACCCGAGAUUAAGUGAUUUUUCUCCUUUAGACUUAUUUUGUAAGAGAAAAUAAUAUAGCAAAUGAACGGUAGCAUCAGAUAUAUACCGUGAAAUUAAUCAAUUAAAUUCAAGUUGCGGAUGUAUUUCAUACAAUUUUGUCCGAAAAGAAAUAUUUAAAAGACAGUCUUUUCUACUUGAAUACAUCAUUAAUUCUCUCAUUUUUAAGAGUUCUCGAUUUUCUUAAGCAUUUUUUUUCCCAGAUUCGUUUCGAUAUUUCAAGCUCGAAGUUGAACAAUUAGAGCCAUUAAUAUGAAAGCAAUUCUUGAAAUAAAUGAUUUCCUUUGGAAAGACUUCAAAAGAGCUUUUGGAAAUAAAUGAAUCUUCUGUUCGUUGAAUCAUUACGUUGUUACUUCGUGUUUACGUUGGCAUUAGAGUAUAUUUGUACAUAAUGAGGACGAAGUCGAAUAGGAGAAUGAUUAGAUGCCAAACCAAAAGUAUAACCGCAGAAGCUAUUUUGCGAUCUUGUUCCUUUUCUAAGAAUUUUUCUACCGCAUUGACACAACGAUUAUAUCAUUAAACACUUAAGUCUCGUUCUUGAUUUAACACUUAGGAAUUAAGUGGAGACUUGAUGGCUGGCUGAAUAAAGUAUUUUGAACUGCGUUUUAUAUAUACGUAACUUAUAAGCGACUCUCUGAGAGCACUUCAUAAAAGCCGCACUUUAAGUAGGCAUAGUUUUUGUCAAACAGAAUAACAGAAAAAGAAAAAAACUGUGGAAUACCAGUUUUUAUUCAUAUGUGGAAAGGUAUUUAUACCACGUAAAUAAUGGACCAAGCAAAAUGAUGCUUUCAAAUAUCUGUAUUCAAUAAUUAAAUAUGUUACAUUGGUUCAAUAAAUAUCAUGCAGUGAAA